GCUCCGCCAAUAGGGGGAAGAGGGUGUGUCACAUGCAAAUAACCCCGUGAAACCCAGCCCCUCCCCUAAGGCCAGACACAGCCCCUGCGCUAGGUCCCUGCAGAAAUGGGGAGGGGAUGAGAUAAAUAGCUGGGAGCUAGAGUUCGCUAGAGGGUCUAAGACUCAACUAAAUGUUUCCCGAUUUCUUGAGAAAGACGGUGGGGGUGGGGGGAGCUAAAACGUUCAUACCGAUCCACCAGGGCAGUGGUUAGGCUUUCUCUUUCUUACCCAGAAUCUUAGCUGGAAAGAAGACUGCAGUCCUGUAGCAGUUGACAGCCAAGGAUCGCAAAGAACUUUAUGCAUCGCUUAUCCUUGUUUUGCAAAAGACCAGUUACCUAAAGCUUCGGCAGCGGGUGGGGGAUAGAUGUCUAAGUACAUUUACACCAUUAGUCGGUUAGAGGGAAACAAAAGACUCAAAACCUGUGGGUUAGCGGUUUCCUCCUCCAUCUAAAGCCCCUUCUCGUCGUAGACUCUCAGCAACGAAAAUUCUUUUAUUUGUCCAGCUCGACAAGGCCAAAGAGACAGGUCGCUAGCGUACGAGGAUCCGUGAAGGCCUGCAGUUGGCAGAAUGAAUCUGUGGAGAUGAUUUACACGAAUGAUUUCACUGGUACAAUAGUUCUUAGGAUUUGCCAAGAUCUUGGAAAAUAAAGGAGAUGCUUCACCCGACCAGUGAGGAUCCUCUUUGCCACACCUUUGGAAAUGUUGUGGAUGGGGAAUUAAAGGAAGUGGUGUUGCCCCACCCGGGGCCAUCCCAGAAGGACUGUGGUUGUGCUGGACGUGCUGUUGAUGCAACAACUCUACUGUUGUUUCUGUCUAUUCGAAACCUGUCACUUUGCAUUUUCUUUCUCCAAGAAGAUCCAAACAUCAAGAGACUCCCAUGUCUUGGGGGAACUGGAACGCCUAGGAAUGGAAACAAAUGGAAAUACAUUAUACCAGUGGAACUUCAGCUAUGACCUGAAAUGUGUUACCUAAGAGCUCUGUAAGGGAGAAAUUGAAAACUUUUUUUCUAUCUUAAUAUUAUAUAAUCUAGUCACUGUUGAAAAACCCUUCAAAUUUCAUUUUUUUUAGUAAUUACUUUGUAGAGUUUUUUGAGGAUUAAAUGAAAAAAUUUAUGUAAAGUGCAUAGAACAGUGUCCCUCCUGUUAUGACCACUCAAUAAAUAUUACCUAUUAUUAUUA
ensembl:lncRNA